AUUUAGAUCCGAACAGACUGCAGUUCUUUGAAUAUGAAUCCAUCUCAUUAAAUUGCACGGGCCUUCAUGACACGACUGAAUGGAAAGUGAUGAAAAAGAUUCCCUCAAAUUCCACCCAAUGGGCGACAUCAACAGGAUCCUUGAACAUUAAACCAGCCUAUGCUUCACACAGUGGAGAGUACUGGUGUGAAAAUGGAGAGGGUGAGAGAAGCAACGCUCUCAACAUCACAGUAACUGCUGGUGAUGUGAUUCUGGAGAGUCCUGCUCUCCCUGUGAUGGACCAACAGACUGUCACACUGCGCUGUAGAGACAAGGCGACAUCCACCAAACUCCCAGCUGAUUUCUAUAAAGAUGGCCACUUCAGUGGGACUGGAUAUACAAGCGAGAUGACCAUUCACAAUGUUUCCAAGUCCAGUGAAGGUUUUACAAGUGUGCAAUAUCUGGAUUAAAAGGAGAAUCUCCAGAGAGCUGGCUGGCUGUCAGAGAUAUCACUCCCUCACCUCAAAACACAACACCUCACGAUGAUCAAGGGACUCGAGAUGAUCAAAAGACUGCUCCUCAUGUUCCUCACCCGGGUUCCAUUGAGCUCUCCAUCCUGUUACCUGUUGUUUUCAGCAUUUUGUGUGUGGCUGUGCUGCUGUUGGUGGUGGGAGUACUUCAUUGUCGGAAAC